GCUGAUAUGGCUCAGUCGGCAGAGCACAUCCUUGGUAAGGAUGAGGUCGUCGGUUCGAUUCCGACUAUCAGCUCCA
rnacentral:tRNA from 1 species